UACAGAGGUCUCGAGCGUUGUUCGGAUUCAUUGGGCGUAAAGGGUGCGUAGGCGGCGCGGUAAGUCGGGUGUGAAAUCUUGGAGCUUAACUCCGAAACUGCAUUCGAUACUGCCGUGCUUGAGGACUGGAGAGGGGACUGGAAUUUACGGUGUAGCGGUGAAAUGCGUAGAUAUCGUAAGGAAGACCAGUGGCGAAGGCGGGUCUCUGGCCCGAUACUGACGCUGAGGCACGAAAGCGUGGGGGAGCAAACAGG
rnacentral:rRNA from 1 species